rnacentral:rRNA from 1 species
GGUGAACGCUGGCGGCGUGCUUAAGACAUGCAAGUCGAACGCAGUCUUCGGACUGAGUGGCGCACGGGUGAGUAACACGUAACUGACCUACCCCCAAGUCGCGGAUAACUGGCCGAAAGGUCAGCUAAUACGUGAUGUGAUGUCCCCUUUCUGGGGGGCCAUUAAAGGUUUACUGCUUGGGGAUGGGGUUGCGUUCCAUCAGCUAGUUGGCGGGGUAAAGGCCACCAAGGCAACGACGGAUAGCCGGCCUGAGAGGGUGGCCGGCCACAGGGGCACUGAGACACGGGUCCCACUCCUACGGGAGGCAGCAGUUAGGAAUCUUCCACAAUGGGCGAAAGCCUGAUGGAGCGACGCCGCGUGAGGGAUGAAGGUUCUCGGAUCGUAAACCUCUGAAUCAGGGACGAAAGACGCGUAAGCGGGAUGACGGUACCUGAGUAAUAGCACCGGCUAACUCCGUGCCAGCAGCCGCGGUAA